AAAAUUUUACUUUCCCCCUCCAUCAUUUUAGGCUCCUUUUUAAGUUCUGCUGGUCCUAAUUGUCAUCUCUUAUAGGUACUGAGAAGUUUAUUAGUUGCUUUUGCCUUAUUCCUUUUUUUUUUCUUUCUUUUUUUUGUCUUUUUAGGACUGCACCCAUGGCAUAUGGAGGUUCCCAGGCUGGGGGUUGAAUUGGCGGCAUAGAUGCUGGUCUACACCACAGCCACAGCAACACAGGAUCUGAGCCUUGUCUGCAACCUACACCAUAGCUCACAGCAAUGCCAGAUCCUUAACCCACUGAGUGAGGCCAGGGAUCGAACCUUCAGCCUCAUGGAUACCAGUCAGAUUUGUUUCCGCUGAGCCAUGAUGGGAACUCCCGCUUUUGCCUUAUUCAAUACUAUCCAACAAAAACAGGAAGGUGUAACUGAGGAUUAAGACAUUCACUUGGGCAGCCAUUCAUUUGCUCUGAUGCAGCUGGUUAAGGCAUAGGCCGUGAAAUAGUUCAGGAAACACAGCCACCAAGACUUUGUUCAUGUUUUUAUGCCCAAGUUUGUUUGAAGUCUGGAGAACAGCCAGUCCUAUAUCCAGGCAUAAUGAUAAAAAUAAUAACAGCUGUUGUCUGAGCAUCUAUUGUGUGCUAGGCACUAUGCUAGACACCACUGGCCAACUCUCAUCAUCUUACAGGAACCGAAAUGGGAGGCACUGUUCCUGGUUUUGAUAGCAUGGGAAAUGGUUCAGAGAUCACAUGGCUCAUCCAGCAACCCUGCCAGGACUGGCUCAAUCUGGCUGACUCGAGAUCAACCUUUGACAUUUUAGUGCAUAGGUGAGCACCUAACUUACAUUCUAGACUGGUCCUGUGGCAGGGAUUCCUAUUCAUUGCUCAAUAUCCAUUUUCCCUCUUUCCGUAAUUGGAAACACUAAUUUUCAUCUAACUGUAUUUCUCAGCCUUUCUUACAGCUAUGUGCAGCCAUUUUCUGAAAUCCUGUACAAUGGAAUAUCAGUGAAAGUGUUACAUGACAGCUUCUAGGAUCCUUCCUUAAAAGACAGCCAACAGAUUUCCUUCACCAUUUAAAAAAUGUUCUUGCUUACUGGAAUGUUGGUCUAAGAUGCUCCAGCAGCUAUCUUUGGCCAUAGAGAUGAGGACCCAAAUGUAAGGAUGGUGAAGUAGAAAACUAGAAGGAGCCUGGGUCCUUGAGGACUUUUUGGAACAGAACUGAUGUUCAGCAGAUCGUUCAGCAGUUCCGAUCUACGUAUCGUGGAACUUCUACACGAGAGAGAAAUAAGCCAAUGUAAUCCUAGAAUUCUGUUACUUGCAGAGUAUCUUAAUGAUAACCACUUCUUGAAUGAACAAAGUUCCUUGAAGGACACUGGAUGGUUACUGGUGCUUGAAUGUCUCCCGUAGAGCUUUGUUCUAUUGCAUUAGGAUAUAUUCUUAUAGAGUGUCUGAGAAGGAAGGUAACAUCACUCAAAGUGCAUGAAUGGAGCACAAGGAGCCACAAAAUAGGCAAGCUUAAAGUGCCUGUAAUUUUGUGGAAGGCCUUGGUGGGUGCUGCUGUUGGGGCAGGGGUGGGGGGCUGAGAUGGACAGGAGGAAAGGACAGAGCACAGCUAGGGCCUUCCUUGCUCUUGACGAUAUGGAAGAGGCCCAAUCUGAAUUUCGUCUACUUAACAGUUUAGUUCAGGGCCUAUUCUCUUCUAGGAAAUUCACCCAUAUCUGUGAUUACAAAAGUGCAAAAGUUCAGGUUACAUCAGUAUUGGAUUAACAGUGAUGAUGACACCUUUGUAUCAGUAAUACUGAACCGAAACAGAAGAACUAUGUUCAGACGAGUAAAGCAUUCUCCCAAUACAGCCUCAACUUCCCUUAGGAAAAGGUGAGCACCCUCUCUAAUCAGUUGUCCUUUGACGUAUUUAUUCAUAAAUUCAUGCAACAAAUGUAUAUAUUGGGUAUUACGUGUCAGGCAUACAUUCUGUACAUUCUAAGGAAAAGUAAAUCUUAAGGUGAUAAAAUAAUUUCUAGCCCAAAUAAUCUUCUUUAAAGCAAACAUGAAAUCCCAUUUAAAAAGCAAAGAAAAACUGCUGAUUACCUACCAUAUUUAAGGUGCUGUCCUAAGUGUUGUAGGGUAUGUGAAAAUGAUUGGGUAAGGCAAAGCCCUGGCCUUCAAGGAAUUUAUGUCCCAGCCGGUGGGAUAAGAAAGCCCAUAAAUAACCGUAAUACAAAGCAGAAGGAGGUUAAAUGCCUUAGAAGGUACGGAGCACAAUGAAGGUUCAGAGAGGGAGCCCUGCUGAGUCACCGAGGGGUGACCUCCCCUCAGGAGAGAGAUGACCAUCCCAUGGAUUGGAUUGGUGUAACGCCCCAUUGUUAUGGCUUUCUGCUUGCGGAAUAGGGCAGAAAGUAGAGAUGUUCCACCCCUGAUGUCCCCACCACUGGGGCGAUUUCAGAAGAGGCCUUCCAUCAGGACAUUGAAGAAUGUGUUACUUUUUCAGCAGAAAGAUUUUAUGAGUUCAAAGUUCUUUUCCAACUCUAUAAUUUCACGGUUCUUCUACUUCUGUCCUUAACAGAAGCUCUUACCCUCAAGACUACCUAGGGUUUCUGAGUCUUGUCAUAUUAUAUGUACUUGGCAGAAGCAAAGCGCAAACAUGGGCAGGCACAGAGACCUCCAAGGGACCCUACCUCAUGAGUCUUCUUUUCAUCUUUUCCAGUAGAGGUGACAGAGAGAAAUAUCCAAAAGGAAGUGUUCAACCACGCUGAAUGAGCACGCAUGAGAUGAAGACUUAAAAGCGUUUUGGUCAAGUGAUGGAGUCUCCUGAACUGACCUCUUUCUUAGUGCUGAGUCUGAGAUAGCUGGAAUCAAGACCCUGCAUGAGGCAAGGUGGGUGGACUCAGGUAAGCAUUUCCAUUUCCUCAUCCUAGCAGACGAGAGACACACAUUCUACUGCAUUCCAUCAAGCCUGGUACAGAACAGGGGCACCCUGCCACUCUAUCCACAAACCCUCGUCCCAGGGUGAACCUAGCAGACAGCUUGGAUGGGAAGCUGCCAUUUCUCUUCCUGGCCCUGGGAAGAGAUGAGUCAUGAACAUGAGCGGAGGACAAGGAAUUGGCUCACUAGACCUACAGAGCUGGGAUCCCUCUGGAUAAUGUUCCCUUCAGAAUGAAAGGAAAAUGGCUGCAUAUCUGAGCCCGUGCUCAGUAACUAUAGCCUGUGGCAUGUGGCCCGUGGCAUGUGGCCCUUCAUGUACCAGUCUUUCACUUUAUCUCUUGAGUCAUUAUGCUCACAGCUAAUAUGUUAAUUGCUGAGGAUCCACAUGCAAUUUGGAAAAGAGUCUCCUUUGUGAAAAGGAGAACAUUUGUAGGUCAUGGUGACCAUCUUGGGAGCAUCUGAGAGGAAAGUUCUGCCUCUUUUGAAUUCCUAACACUGAUAGUCAAAUUUUCCUUGUUAAAAAAAGGUGUGUGUGUGUGUGUGUGUGUGUGUCUGUGUGUGUGUGUUCUAAUCUAGAAAGUAAGGAGAGAUCCUGAGGAACUGAUAAAGUAUGAACAAAUGUACUUCAAAGACUAACAACUGAAUUCUAAAUUCAAAUGAGAAGAAAGUCUUCCUUUAGGAAAAAUCAGAGAAAAGACCACAGGGAGGAAAAGGUAUCAAAUCUAACUGUUAGCAUGUCAUAAUAUUUUGUCAGGAGUUUUUCUCUCAUUUCUGUUCAACAACUGACUUUCAGCUAGCAUUAAUCUUCUAAUCAAAAGGGAACAAAUCUAUUUAUAAUUGACAUAAAUGAUAGUCCUAUUUAUAGUUCUCUUUGGCGUUCCAUGUUUCUCUGUGGGAGAUUUUCCCUGAAACAAAAGCCUACUUUUUGAAGCGACUGUGUUCCAGGGACAGCCUUGAUCAUUUCUGUUGCCCGAGAGAUGUAUUUAAUUAACCUCUUACCCUUACUCACAGGAUUGUGGGAAGCACUGACCAACAAUACAGCUUCUCCUACUUUUGCCCUUGUAAUUUCAGGCCACAGAAAGCAUUACAUGACCCACAAAAGAAAGAUUUUGGAGGAAGCUCUCGAGGAAGAUGCAGGAACUGAAUGCCAUCUUGGCUAACCCAUUUGCAACUUGCGAAUAUACCCUGGCCUGGCACUCCUUCAAUUCGAACAAUGCCUCAUUCAAAUUAUCUCUAGAAACUUGUGGCUGGCCUUGAUUCCCUGAGAUUUUGUGAUGACUCCACAGGUAUUAUCUCACCUGAUACUCACCAAAAACUGAUCAUACCCAUUUUGCAAGCAAAAGAAUUGCCUAAAAGAACCCAGCUCAUAGCCAGCAAAGCCAAGUCUCGUCAGGGUGCUGGGUCUCCUCACCUCAUAUUCAGAGCUCCUUCUGAUACCUAAUGUCUCUUGGUAACAAAAUAAGUAUUAUUCAAACAUACCAGACACUCAUAUUUGGAUUUCUAUUUAAUUUAGAAAAAUCUCUGUUUUGAGGCUUUCUUGUACUGAAAGAAAAGGAACCAAGGCUGCCCGUGUUCUUUGCAUCAGAUCUUGUCUUGACUGGAGGGUACAGAGGAUCAGUGGAAAGGGAGCCUUGGGAUUCUAGGUUGGAUUUGCACUGAACUGGAAUUGUCAUUGGAUAAUCACUGAACUUGAGUUGGAAAGAUUGGCCUGGUAACUUCACAAAAGGAAGUAUUCUUUCAUGAGCUUUCCAUCAAGUCAAAGUCAAAGCACCUUGUUCAUACAGUAUUUCUGGCCUCUCUUUGGCAACUGAGCCCAUCCAUACCUCUACCUAGUCAAGGACCCAGGCAGACAGAAGGUACAUGAAGGUGACAAAUUUCACCUUACUUUUAAACAUCAGUGGAAAACCUCACAAGAUGGAUAUAGGGAGAGGAAAGUGAAAAUCCCUGGUUUUCAUUUGUGAAUAUAUUUUGAGAUCUGCCAUGUCCAGGAAGAAUAGGAAAAAAGAAUGCCAUUUUUAUAUAUCAUUGUUUAUUUUACUGCUGUCUGAUUACUUUGAUAACAAUUCCUACAUACGGGUAAUGGUUGCAUUCUUUGCACCCAGAUUGAAGGUAACCUUAAGGCAGGUUUGAUGUCACACUUUGAGAAUGUGAUUCGUGCCCAUUAAUAUUAGUUGUCUCCACUGGCUUUCUUAUUUCUGUUUUCUCUUGAUUUCCAGCACUAGCCCAGGUACACAGUUGUCCAUGAAACAUUGCUAAAUUAAAUUACAUUUAAGAAGAGUGGCUUUCUUCUUUUUAGUCCCUAUUUUCCAACUAAUCAUUUUGAUUAAAAUCCAUUAAGUUGGAUCCAUUUCUGAAGUCACUGAAUUUUGACCCCAUAUCCUAGAAACUUUUUGACAGCUCUUGUGCCAGGGCAAGCAGGAAUGAGAGCUCCUUUCUGGGCAUUCAGUAACUUUAGAAAUAGACAUUUCUGAAUGCAAUGUGCAGAGCUCUUUCUGUUGCAUUUUUUUCUCCAGGGUAUUUGUGCCCUACCUGACACUGGCUCAAUUCACUAUUUCAGCUGGGCCCGCAGAAAUGGAUCGACUCCUAUAAUUCUGACACAAGACGAGCAUACUUAAAGGGAUUGCUGAUGCACCUUGUGAAACAUGCAGUAGUGAUUUAAUCUGAAGAUCACCACCAGCUUCCUGCAAAAAGGAUCAUGUUCUGUUUACCUAAAUUCCCUCAGUAGUUUCCUUUAGAUGCAGUAUUUCUCACCCCCUACUUGAAAAAUGGGAAGAAGUCCAUGGGAGCCUUCCAACUCAGCCCUGUCUGCAUUUCAAAUGUGCUACUGCCUUCUUAUGGGUUCCCACAGUUAAUCUAGGCCAGGAAGGCCAAAGAAAAAUGGAGAACUUAAUUGCACACAAAUACAGACUGUACCAUCUGUGGACAAGGGAAUCUGUGGGACCUUACAGAGAUUAAUAAAGCAGCCCUCACUUUUGAGGAGCUUCUAGUUAACCAGAUGGUAAAAGCACAAACACUCAAUAAAAUAACACAAUAUAGGAUAGAUGAUAAAUAUUGUAAGAGGAAUAUUAUUGCUAUUCAGAGGAAUGCAAGUUGAUAUCUGGUAAAAGAUUUUACAGAGGAGGUGACAUUUGAGAGAAGAACAGAAAUAAAGUCGAGGAAAAUAAAACAUGUGGUAGUAAGUCAUCUAGGUUGGAUGCUGGAAUAUGUAGGGAGCAUUUGUAAACUCAAAUGCCUAUCAGAGCUAAUCAAUUUAUAUAAAAGAGUGAAGUGAGCCAGAGUAAGGUAACAGAGAAUGGUGGGGAUUUUUGUAAAGUCGAAAGCAUGUGCCAAUCUAGAGGGAAGAUUCAUCUAGUAAAUAUUGACAGAUAAUUCAGAGUUUCAUGAAAACACUGUAUUUGCCAAAAAAAAAAAAAAAAAAAAAAAACCUU